rnacentral:rRNA from 1 species
GAUGAACGCUGGCGGCGUGCUUAACACAUGCGAGUCGAACGAACAGACGAGGAGCUUGCUCCUCUGACGUUAGCGGCGGACGUGUGAGUAACACGUGGAUAACCUACCUAUAUGACUGGUAUCACUUCGGGAAACCGGAGCUAACACCGGAUAAUAUCUUGAUCCGCGUGGUUCAAUAGUGAAAUACGGUUUUGCUGUCACUUAUAGAUGGAUCCGCGCUGCUUUAGCUGGUUGGUACGUUCACGGCUUACCACGGCGACCAUGCGUAGACGACGUGAUAGAGGGGUCGCCGACAUGGGAAGUGAGACGCGGUCCAGGCGCCUGCGGGAGGCAGCAGUAGGGAAUCUUACGCAGUGGGCGGAAGCCUGACGGAGCGGCGCCGCGUGAGUGAUGAAAGUCUUCGGAGCGUAAAACUGUGUUAUGAGGGAAGAACCAAUGUGUAAGGAACUAUGCACGUCUUGACGGUAACUGAUCAGAAAGCAACGGCUAACUACGUG